rnacentral:rRNA from 1 species
AUACGGAGGAUGCGAGCGUUAUCCGGAUUUAUUGGGUUUAAAGGGAGCGUAGGUGGGAUAUUAAGUCAGCUGUGAAAGUUUGGGGCUCAACCUUAAAAUUGCAGUUGAUACUGGUUUCCUUGAGUACGGUAUAGGUGGGCGGAAUUCGUGGUGUCGCGGUGAAAUGCAUAGAUAUGACGAAGAACACCGAUUGCGUAGGCAGCUGACCAGACCGCAAAUGACGCUCAUGCACGAAAGUGCGGGGAUCGAACAGGAUUAGAUACCCUGGUAGUCCGCACAGUAAACGAUGAAUACUUGUUUUCGGCGAUAUAAUGUCGGAGGCAAAGCGAAAGCGAUAAGUAUUCCACCUGGGGAGUACGCCGGCAACGGUGAAACUCAAAGGAAUUGACGGGG